rnacentral:misc_RNA from 1 species
CAUUCUUGAAUUUUUUCAACAUUUUAUUAGCAAAAAAUACCCCUUUUUCUAUGUCAUUUCCUCUUAUUUCAACACAAUUAUCACAUAAUUCAUCAUCUAAAGCUCUUUUUCUAUCAUCCCUUAUGGCAAAUUCUCAUCAAAAUAGAAAUACAAAAAUUAUGCCUAGAGUUGUUCCAUCUUUGAAUUACAAAUCAACUUUUAAAUAUUCUAUG